GCUCCUCACUGACAGCACAGAGCCCAACUCAAGAUCAUGACUGGAGCUGAAGUCAGACGCCCAACCAACUGAGCACCUAGGUGCCUGACAGUGACUAUACUUCAAAAUAGUUCAAUUUAAAAAAUUCUGAAGGGUGGAAGUCCAAGAUCCAUGUGCCAACACACUCAGUUUCUGAAAAUGAUUUCCACUGAAGAUGACGAUUUGGUUGCCUCAGCCAGAACCAAUAGUUGAGAAUGAAAGCAGUGGAGAACUGAUAAGACCUGGAAUUGCUGCAGCCACCUUGUCGAACAGCUGGAACAUAGAGCCAGCAAAGGACAGAGGGCCAUACAGAUGGCCAGAGCCAAAGCACUCCACUCCAUUUCUGGUUUUCCUGUGCUGUAAACCAAUAAAUUUACUGUUCAAGACACUU